rnacentral:rRNA from 1 species
GACGAACGCUGGCGGCGUGCUUAACACAUGCAAGUCGAACGGAAAGGCCCUGCUUUUGUGGGGUGCUCGAGUGGCGAACGGGUGAGUAACACGUGAGUAACCUGCCCUUGACUUUGGGAUAACUUCAGGAAACUGGGGCUAAUAUCGGAUAGGAGCUCUUGCUGCAUGGUGGGGGUUGGAAAGUUUCGGCGGUUGGGGAUGGACUCGUGGCUUAUCAGCUUGUUGGUGGGGUAGUGGCUUACCAAGGCUUUGACGGGUAGCCGGCCUGAGAGGGUGACCGGCCACAAUAGGACUGAGAUACGGCCCAGACUCCAACGGGAGGCAGCAGUGGGAAACCUUACAGAAUGGGCGGAAGCCAGAUGCAGCAACGCCCCGAGCGGAAAAACGGCCUUCGAGUUGUGAACCGCUUUCGCCGGUAACGUAGCGUGAGUGACGGUAAUGAGUAAAAAAGCAACGGCUAACUACGUG